UUGUCAUCGGACGUGGUACAUGCCGAACGUUCGUUCUCGUAAUAAAUGACGUUGCACGUUACCACGCCGGAUGUCACUC